UGGGGCGUCGCCAAGUGGUAAGGCAGUGGCCUUUGGAGCCACCAUCCGUAGGUUCGAAUCCUACCGCCCCAACCA
rnacentral:tRNA from 1 species